rnacentral:rRNA from 1 species
GUAGUCCACGCAGUAAACGAUGAAUACUAGCUGUUCGGGGCAAAUGGGCCUUGAGUGGCACAGCGAAAGCGUUAAGUAUUCCACCUGGGGAGUACGCCGGCAACGGUGAAACUCAAAGGAAUUGACGGGGGCCCGCACAAGCGGAGGAACAUGUGGUUUAAUUCGAUGAUACGCGAGGAACCUUACCCGGGCUCAAACGCAACCGGAAUGUAUCCGAAAGGGUACAGCUCUACGGAGCCGGUUGCGAGGUGCUGCAUGGUUGUCGUCAGCUCGUGCCGUGAGGUGUCGGCUUAAGUGCCAUAACGAGCGCAACCCCUAUCGACAGUUGCUAACGAGUAGAGUCGAGGACU